rnacentral:rRNA from 1 species
GACGAACGCUGGCGGCGCGCUUAACACAUGCAAGUCGAACGGAAAGGCCUGCUUUCCCUUGUGGAUUGCGGGUACUCGAGUGGCGAACGGGUGAGUAACACGUGAGUGAUCUGCCCCCAACUUGGGUAUAAGCCUGGGAAACUGGGUCUAAUUCCCGAUAGGACUGCAGGGUGGUGCCUGUGGUGGCAAACGAUUUUCUAGUGGUUGGGGAUGAGCUCGCGGCCUAUCAGCUUGUUGGUGGGGUAAUGGCCUACCAAGGCGGCGACGGGUAGCCGGCCUGGGGGGGUGGACGGCCGCAAUGGGACUGAGAUACGGCCCAGACUCCUACGGGAGGCAGCAGUGGGGAAUAGUGCACGAUGGGCGGAAGCCUGAGGCAGCGACGCCGCGUGGGGGAUGACGGCCUUCGGGUUGUAAACUCCUUUCGACCGCGAGGAAGCCACCUGGUUGGAAGGGUGGUGACGGUAGUGGUAGAAGAAGCACCGGCUAACUACGUG